AUGAGGGCCCCCACUCAGUUCCUAUGGUUACUGCUUCUCUGGCUUACAGGAGCCAAAUGUGAUGUUCAGAUGACCCAGUCUCCAGCCUCCUUGUCUGCAUCUGUGGGAGAAAGUGUCACCAUGACAUGCCAAGCAAGUCAGGACAUUUAUAGCAACUUAGCAUGGUAUCAGCAGAAACCAGGGAAAUCUCCCAAGCUCCUGAUCUAUGGUGCAAAAUACUUGGCAAAUGGGGUCCCAUCGAGAUUCAGUGGCAGUGGAUCUGGCACACAGUAUUCUCUUAAGAUUAGCAGCCUGCAGGCUGAAGACAUUGCGACUUAUUACUGUCAACACUAUUACGGUACCUCUCCCACAGUGAUUCAUGCCAUGACACAAACCAUCAGGGAAGCAGAAGUGAGAAUCCAGGCUGUCUUGAUUUUACUUCUGCUGUUUCGAGUUACUGAAAGUGUUCCUCUUUGUCUGGAGUUAAAGGACAAUGUCAUGUUUCUAUCUGCGGAUCUGUAUUUAUUUAGAUAA